GACGAACGCUGGCGGCGUGCUUAACACAUGCAAGUCGAACGGAAAGGCCCUGCUUUUGUGGGGUGCUCGAGUGGCGAACGGGUGAGUAACACGUGAGUAACCUGCCCUUGACUUUGGGAUAACUCCAGGAAACUGGGGCUAAUACCGGAUAGGAGCUCCUGCUGCAUGGUGGGGGUUGGAAAGUUUCGGCGGUUGGGGAUGGACUCGCGGCUUAUCAGCUUGUUGGUGGGGUAGUGGCUUACCAAGGCUUUGACGGGUAGCCGGCCUGAGAGGGUGACCGGCCACAUUGGGACUGAGAUACGGCCCAGACUCCUACGGGAGGCAGCAGUGGGGAAUAUUGCACAAUGGGCGGAAGCCUGAUGCAGCAACGCCGCGUGCGGGAUGACGGCCUUCGGGUUGUAAACCGCUUUCGCCUGUGACGAAGCGUGAGUGGCGGUAAUGGGUAAAGAAGCACCGGCUAACUACGUG
rnacentral:rRNA from 1 species